rnacentral:lncRNA from 1 species
GCCAACUUCAAACUGCCCCUCAGAAGGAGGCCCUCGCUCUCUCUGAUCCCGGAGGCCCAAGUCAGUGGCUUCACAUCUCGCCAGGAACCCGGGGCUUCCCUGGGUUGACAGCAGGGAUGGAACAGGAUUCUGCCAGGAUGGGGGUGAAGGGUUGAUUUUGGGAGCAGAACGCAACACCUGAUCUCGAUUGAAACUUUGGCAGCUACAGGUAAGGCACUUUACUCUGUAUUUUGUUUAAGUAGCAUUUGCAUCUUUGCCAUAUUCUGUUCCCUGAUGAUUAAUAUGGUGUACUGCUUCAUUCGUUUUAGAUUUUUUUUCCUGACUCUGUCAUAAACUUGUACAGUUGCCUCCAUAAACAUCUUGUAUAUUUUGGUUAGGCUUCUUCUUAGUUGUAUUUUGGAUUUUAAUUAUGUUGUAAAUGAUAUAUUUUUUAUUUUAUAUUCUAAGUGUCUCUUGUGUGACAGGCCUUUGAUUUUGCUGUUAUAAUCUUUAAUAUGCUCUUUUCUGAAGUCUCUUCAUUUGCAUAUUCAAUGCAUCUGUUACUUUCAAUUUUCUUGAUGAUUACAUUGUGAAAAAUACUAUUUAUUUUCAAUCUUCAUACCUCGUUUCAAUUUUUCUUUCCAUAGCUCUCUUUUUCAUUUUGAUAUCCAUUGCAGCUAUGGACGAUGGUGGAGUGAGUAUACGUCAGUGACUUGUCCCUGCUGUGAAUGAAAAUACUUCUAACAUUUCAAAUUCAAGUAUGCUUCCUGUCAAUUUUAGGAAAUCAAAGUUUUUAAUCUUAGUUUGCUAAAAGGUGUUAAUUACAAAUCACAUACACUUUCUUUCAGAGG